GAACAUUUGUAUAUAAGACACUGAGGUCAAGUCGUCAAUCUUAAACACAAUAUUUAUUAUCUCGGAACGUAUAUGGUGUGUUUUGCUAUUACAAUCUAAUUGGUUUCAUAAUUUGUUACGUCACUCCUGAACCUCAUCAAAUCUUUAAUGUAGACCAAGUUCAGGUGAUUACAAAUAGUUAUCAAUUAAGGAAUUAUAAAUUAUAAGAUUGUUUUAAUUACAACUGUGACACACGAUAGUAUCUGAAGGUAAGUUUUACUGGAU
rnacentral:lncRNA from 1 species